rnacentral:rRNA from 1 species
UACGUAGGUGGCAAGCGUUGUCCGGAUUUAUUGGGUUUAAAGGGUGCGUAGGCGGUCCUAUAAGUCAGUGCUGAAAUAUCCCGGCUUAACCGGGAGGGUGGCAUUGAUACUGCAGGACUUGAGUAAAGUUGAGGUAGGCGGAAUUGACGGUGUAGCGGUGAAAUGCUUAGAUAUCGUCAAGAACACCGAUAGUGAAGACAGCUUACUAAACUUUAACUGACGCUGAGGCACGAAAGUGUGGGGAGUCAAACAGG